rnacentral:rRNA from 1 species
CAAUAGCGUAUUUUUUUGUUGUUGCAGUUAAAAAGCUCGUAGUUGAACUUCUGGCCCGGUGGCGCUGCCUUAGGGUUCGCUGUCCGCCGCGGUCAUCCGCCUGGGAACGUAGUUCGUGCUUCACUGCUCGGCUGCGGGAACAGGCACUUUACUUUGAGGAAAUUAGAGUGUUUCAGGCAGGCCUUUGCUUGUAUACACCAGCAUGGAAUAAUGGAAUAGGACUUUUCCCAUUUUGUUGGUUAUUGGGAAUAGUAAUGAUUAAUAGGGACAGUUGGGGGCAUUUGUAUUCUGUAGUCAGAGGUGAAAUUCUUGGAUUUACAGAAGACAAACUAAUGCGAAAGCAUUUGCCAAGGAUGUUUUCAUUAA